rnacentral:misc_RNA from 1 species
GAACGCACCUUGCACCCUUUGGUAUUCCGAAGGGUAUGCUCGUUUGAGUGUCAUUGUACUCUCACACUCUCUAAUGCUUGCAUUAGGAGCGGUGGACUUGGGUGUUGCUGCUUCACGGUGGCUCACCUGAAAUGCAGUAGUGCACCUCCUGGUUGGACAUAGUACGGCGUGAUAAGUGUCUUCGCCGGCGCCUCGAAAGAGGGUGGCCGAUUGGGAGCUCUGGGCUUCUAACUGUCUUAGGACACUGUCUGACAACUUGACCUCAAAUCGAGUAGGACUACCCGCUGAACUUAAG